rnacentral:lncRNA from 1 species
CGGAGACACGCCCGGCCCUGCAGCCAAACAGCAGGAAGGCAGAUUUGUACGAGUAAGUACAAGGUCCUGGAAUUCUCGCCCGGUUGCCACACACUAUAGGGAGAAUAAUUGGGGGGAGAUUGUGCAACUGCCCGAGAAGCCGGGGCGUACCGCGAGGGCUCUCAAGUUCUCAUCACAGGCGUCCCGGGAACCUUGGGACAGAGCCGGGCGCCACCUUCGAGUGACACCGAUGCCUGGUUCCAUCAGGGAAGCAGUAUGGCUCUGCAGAGAGUGGGAGAGCCCGGGUCCAGGCUGGGUGGACCGGAAAGAGGGUUGAGAAGGGACCACGCCUUCAGCCUCAGGCAGCUGCAAGCAGCCGCGGUGGCAGCAGCCCCGCCUGGCAGUGCCUAAUGAAGCACCCGGCAGUACCCAAAGCCCCGGGGCUGGACGCACACCAGGUCUCUCCCCCUGAGGGAGAGGGGGAACCUGGGGAAGCCCCACCCAGAGACUGACAAUCCCUACCCCACCCCGUGGGGCAGAGCCUGGGCAGCUGGGCUGCAUGCUCAGCCCCAAAGAACCCCUCAUGGGUGGGUCCAUCCCGGGGGGCCUAGUGAGUCACUUCCCCAGGCCCGGAGGCCUUCGUGGAAGGUGCCUCCCUCUUCGGCAAAGCAUCCUUUGUUCUACUGCUGGCUUCACUUCACAACCACUCCCUCCUCUGCUUUGCAAACUCAGGUCCCGCGGGGGGUUGAGGGCACCAGCUGUGAGCAGCACCGAGUGGGCAAACGCAUACCGCCUCCAGAGUGCUCUCUCACUGCAGAGUCUGAAACUGGCUCUCCGGCUUCCUCUGUCCCCUGCCUUUCAGGGCCCUGGCUCUCCCACUUCCCUAGAUGUCUGGGGGAAGCCCCGCCUCCCCACACAGGUGGUGGGUGUGCACCUCCUGGGGAGUGCUGAUCCUGGACGUGCACCAGGCGGGAGGGUGGUUUGGAUGUGCUCACCCUGGCCGGCACCGCCUGGAGCUGCUGGACUGGCCUCAACACUAAUCUUGCAUCAGGGAGAAGUUUCCAGCAAUCACCACUCACUCUCCCUCCCUUAGGCCUCCCCCAGUUCCCAGGCCCUGCUGGAGAAACCUUGUGAAAGCCCAGCCCAGGAAGGGAAUUCAUCAAGCCACCUCCAGACACAGCCUCUCCUUUGGCUUCACUCUUGGCCUUCCAGCUGUCACAUGGGCAGCUCAGCGUGGGCAAAGUCCAGGAGCUGAUGAUGUCACUUGUGUGGUGAGCACUGGCCUUGUAGACCCCUGCACUCUUGUUUUGAAGAAAUAGAAGACUAAUUGAAAGAAAGAAAGAAAAUAAAUAA